UGCUUUCACCUCUCGAGUAGCUGGGACUACAGGAAUGUGCCACCUCACCUGGCUUCUUCCAAUAAUUUUUAAGAAGUGUUUUUCACAAAGUAUGGCUCCAAGCAAUAUUUUUGCAGUGAUAUACUGAAGCACAUGGUUAAGUAUUAUUUUUAAAUUGUUUUUUAGUGUUUUUAUUACUACAGGUAAACAUUAAAAUCUUUGUGUUAAUGUAAAUUGCAUUACUUCAAUUUUUUCCUAAGUUUCCUUUCCUGGAAAUAAGUAUGGAUGCAAAAGAUGUAACUAAAAUGAAGUGACUGGAACAUCAUAUCCUCUCAUUUAUAACUGUGAUAAUUUUAAACCCUUAUAUAUUUUUAUAAGUAUGGAUUGAAUACUUGAUGUAUAUAAAACACCAAAGGUUUAAAAACAAUGCAGAAUAUAGAAAUUAGAAUUUAUAAUCUAGAAGCAAAUAUACAUUCAAACACAGAUGGCUAUCAUAUAAAAAAUAUAAUUAUCAUAUAAACUAUACAGGUAUCAUUCAUUAUUCAGGGGUUUUGAAUGGUCCUAGUUAACUGGCUUCCCCAGUGGCAAUUUUUCUUCCAAUGUGGUCUGAUUCACAUCAAAGAUGAGACUUAGAUACCGACUGAUAUUGAACAUCAGCAGUUUAUUCUAGCAGCGCUCUUACAAGUUGGAUAAUGGGAGCAGGUGGGUGGCAUGAGCCAGAUUCAAUCAGGGGUCAGAUGACCACCCAUCCAAGAGGGUCUCCAUCUGGAGACUAUUCUCAGAGCUUGGGGGAUUCUUCCCCUUUCUUAUACCUGUGUUCAAUCGGAGUCAGUUACCAGGUCUUUCAUUCAUAAAAGGAGGUUAAGCUAGUCUUGUAAGGGUAACUUUGUUUAAAGGUUUGUAAGAGUUGCAUCUGUACUGAGGUGGACGUGUCUCCUGGAAAUCUCCAGGCCAGGUUGCCUCACACUGCUACUGCUAAGUGGCACAUAGUGUCAGCCCUGUGAGGUGUUCCAGUAGGACUUACAGCUAUCAUUCAUCUUAUAGCCAGGAAAUGUCUCUCAUAGUAUGCUACAUCCAGGGGAGUGCUAGAGGGCAGCAGGAGAUAGAAUAAGCAUUGUUUUCUGGGGCUUAUCACAGAAACUGCAAGGAAAAAGGGACAUCUAAUCUGAGCAAAAAAAAUAAAAUAGACUUCAGGCAGAGAUCAAGGAGGGUAAAUUCUAGACAGAAGGCACAGUGUGAGAAAAGACAUAGAGACAGGAAAUUAUAAUAGAUAUUAGGGUAAUGACAAGGGAUUUAAACUGACUAGAAUCUGUGUGGGAGAGUGGUGAAAUGCUGGGAAAACAGGCUGGGUGUUACAUCAGAGUGCAGCUUUGAGAAAAAUAUCUCUGCUGAAUGAAUACGGUAAACAAUGAAUUGCCAAAUAGGGAAUCUAUCUAGCUAUUUUAGUGUUUCUAAUUACAGAGCUAAAGUGCUGUAUUAUAGGAAACAAAUACUGAAUCAGCGCAUUAAGAAAGUGUCCCUCAUUAGCAAUACUAUUUUAAAUAGUCAGGAGGUUUGAAGUUUCAGAAUAGAUUAUUUAAGGUUUUGUAUAUAUGGAGAGUCAGGAGGUAGGGAGGCGGAUAAAUAGACACAGAUAAAUACAGAAAAAAAAUUCUAAUGCCUGAUUUGUCAAUAACAUACUUUCUUUAACUUAGAAAUUGGAAACUAUCUGAAUCUAAAAUGUGUGUCUUUCCACUACUCAGUUGCUGCUCCCCUAUAAGAAGUGGACUUACUGGCCUUUUGACUUUGAGAAAGUCAUUCAUACCUUCUAAGCGACACUAUUCUCAUCUGAAACAGCUACAGUUAGAGAUCAGGAUAUAUGGCUAUGGAUUGCCUCAACACUCGACCUUGAAAUAUCUAGAGAUAGUAUAUCUCUAGAUGGGAAUCCAAGGUCAUGGUUGACUUUGCCCUUAGAGUUCCAUUCCAGGUAAUUGUAUAAAAUCUAUCAACCAAACCACCAAUCAACCAACAAAAAUACUAUUAUAUAUACUGAAUAUUAUUUUACCUACAUGUGGAAAAUCUAUCUGAAGAAUUUUUCAUGGUGAACACAUCCUGCCUUUUUGCUCUUUUCUAGCCAAGACUAAGGAGGUAACCAAUAGCAGUGGUCCACCUAGAAGGAGCACCGUUGCUCAGCACAGGGAGGAGUAAGAAAACAUUUUUUUCUUUCUUUUUUUGUAAAGAGUUUGAGACUAUUGUAAGGAUAUGCUGUGAACAUCAUUUUUUUUUUAGUUAUUUUUAUUUUUGCUACUUAGUUAUCUGUGCCUUACUUUUCUCUAAUUUAUGUGCAGUUACAGGAUGAUGGUAUAAAAAUACAAAUAAAAUGUAAGAGUGAGUUGUUGAAUUAAUUUUUCUGAAAUAAAGGAAUAAACAUUUCUACUAAAAAGUUGUAUGAUUUGUUAUUUGCAAAAAAGCCAAAACUCCUGCUUUGAGGCCUCUGACCUCUAACUCUUCUACUGAAGGUAAGAGAAACAUCUAAUUUUAGUGUCUCUUUACUACUUAGUAGAGUUCUAAUAAGUUUAUAAAUUAAUUAUGUAAAAUACAGGAAACUAUGUACAUUUCUUUUUUUAACAGAUUUCAUAACAUGUUUAUAAUUCUAGACUAGUAGUAACUUAGUUUUUUUUUUUUCCUAUUGGCAAAAACAAAACUCUAAAGGUUUAAAGCUGUGAACAAGUACAUCUAGAAAUAUUUAAUCAAUUAACUCACUAACAAAAUUUGGCUGAUAAGAACUAUAAACUGAGUAUUUUUAAAAGAAACUCUUUUGAGUGUUCAUUUAAAACACUAAUUGUAUUUCUUUUACAUAUUUCUUUGUAAUUAGUAUAUUUAAAAUGUGGUCUGGAUUUUUACUCAACUAACAUAUAAUUUACUUCUUUGGAGCAGUUCUCUAAUGAAACAAUUAUUGCAUUAUACUUUAUAGCUCCUAUGAGACACAAUACUUUAUUACAGAUUUCAUUGCCUUUAUCAGUACUAUGAGUAGACAAGAUAAGAGAAUAUUCUUUUAUAGGAAUUUAAAACACAAAAUAGAUUAAAGCCAUAUCAGAUAACAUUUACACAUUUUAUAUGUCUGGAUAUAAAUGUUAGUUCAUAAAUCUGGAGAAUAUUUAUUUUAUACUAAUAUUUCAUUUAUGCAUGUACUACAAACCAAAAACAUUAAGGUUUCUAGCCUCCCAAGCCAGCUACAUGCCAAUGACUACCAAAUUUUAUCCUUAUUUUGCUUAAUUUCACUGAACCCUGGAAAAGGCCUCUAAGAAUAAAAAAAAAAA
rnacentral:lncRNA from 1 species